GGCGAAGCGGCGGGACAUGUGGUUUAAUUCGACGCAACGCGCAGAACCUUACCAGCCCUUGACAUGUCCAGGACCGGUCGCAGAGAUGUGACCCUCUCUUCGGAGCCUGGAAGACAGGGGCUGAUUGGCUGUCGUCAGCUCGUGUCGUGAGAUGUUGGGUUAAGUCCGGCAACGAUCGCAACCCCCGUCCUUAGUUGCUACCAUUUAGUUGAGCACUCUAAGGAGACUGCCGGUGAUAAGCCGCGAGGAAGGUGGGGAUGACGUCAAGUCCUCAUGGCCCUUACGGGCUGGGCUACACACGUGCUACAAUGGCGGUGACAAUGGGAUGCUAAGGGGCGACCCUUCGCAAAUCUCAAAAAGCCGUCUCAGUUCGGAUUGGGCUCUGCAACUCGAGCCCAUGAAGUUGGAAUCGCUAGUAAUCGUGGAUCAGCACGCCACGGUGAAUACGUUC
rnacentral:rRNA from 1 species